GGUGCUGGCUUUCAAUUCUCCUCCAAAUGCAAUGGACCCGGGUCUGCCUAUCCUCUAUUAGCUUUUGCUCGUUGGAGAGGGAUAACACAUCGCUAAGAAAAAGACUUGUUCUGAGAGUGAGGACUGCCCCCGGAUUUUGUAACCUGUUGCAACCACCUGAAAGCAGCUCUGGGGAAGAAGUCAUUGAAGAGUCUCUCCAAGUGGAAAGUGAAGUAAAUGAACUCUGGGGUGGUGUCUUCCAACUGUCACUUCCAACUCUCCUGUGUUUGUAGACUCUGUGUUCCUAAACAAGGGAAAAUACAGCCACAACCUCCAACGGACAAGUGCUUAUUCAUUCCCUUAAUUUAUCUUUAUUGAGGAUGUUCAGUGUACAGUGUAGGAAAAAUUGAAUGUGAAUAAAGGAAGCUGAAGAUGUUUAAAGAUA
rnacentral:lncRNA from 1 species